CAGAAAUCUCCAGCUGCAGAUCUUGCUCAGCUGGAGGCCUGUGGAGCAGCCUGGAAUGUGGAUUGUGGUGUGGCAGGAGGAGGUGACAGUGUAUGAGGAUGAAGCCAUGGCCACUGGGGUGGAUGUCAGGCAGCACUGGCUAAGGACUCAGCUGAGUGAACAUCUCCAGGCUGGCCAGCUUGGCUCCAUCACUCUCAGGUUUUUACUCUCCAGGCUUGAAUUUUUUUCUGUUUAGAUUAUUGUGAUGUAAAACAGAGACACCCUCACCACCUGCACUGGGCUCUCUUCAGCAGUUCCCUGGCUCUUGCACUGGAGAGCCCAGAACUGGACAGAGUACUGCAGAUGUGGCCUCAGUAGGGCAGAGCAGAGGAAGAGAGAUACACAGAUCAGCAGAGAUCUCCUUCCUGCCACUCCCACCAGAGAAACCAUAGAAUCAGAAAGCACAGAAGCAGGAGGAGCCCCAACUGCUGCUGGGGCAGGUGGGGCACUGUGGAGAGCCCCAGCUGGGUGUCCAACUGUGCACAGCACUUGGCAGAGUAAUUAAGAGGUGUCCAGAGAAGGAAAGUAUUCCAAAACUCCAAGCUCAUCCCUACAAGGAUCUAUGCAAUAAACCAAGGCUGAUGGAUGACACUGAGCUGCUGGGAAGAAGCAUCCAGUGAGAAGCAGAUGCUGGGUUCCCCCAGAGGUCCUAGAGCACAGAAAUGGGAGUUUGUCACAGCCUGGACACCAGAAGGGAUAAAAGAGACUUUCAGACUGUGUGUAACUGCUACAAACAGCAAUUAACUUAUCAAAGCAAGUCAAGAAGGCUGCAGAGAGAUAAGCACCUGCAAAUCUGUGGCACAAUCCACUGGCCAGUCCAAUCUUUGCCACCAGUUUCGACUUCUAAUUCAGAGUUGGAGCACUGAGAGUAUUUUUCCUCCCUGCUUAGGUAAAUAUCCUCUCUCUAUCAUUUAUCUUCCAGGUUUAGACUCCUGGCAGUAAUAAAGAGGCCACAGAGGCUCUUCCGAGCUGCACAAGGAAAUCACAGAAAUCAUCACAGAAUGGUAGGGGUUGGAAGGGACCUCAGAGGAUCAUUCAGUCCAACCCUCUGCCACAGCAGGGGCACCCAGGCAGGUCCCACACAAAACACAUCCAGGUGGGUUUGGAAUCUCUCCACAGAAGGAGACUCUACCACCUCUCUGGGCAUUCUGCUCCAGGGCUCCAGCACUCUCA